ensembl:lncRNA
UUUUUCCUUACCAAUUGAGCCGCAGCAGUGCGUCUCACCAGAUCUUUGGCUGAAGAUCUGAUAAACAGAUCUGCUCUACCAUGUUUGUGUUCUCGCAUUUCUAUAACAGCAUUGCUAAUGUGGUCCAGGGUGGAUGGCAAGUGGGAAGGGACAUGCUGCAACACUCAUGGGAACAGUGCUGGACAAGUGUGCUCCACUUAGUGUUCUGCCAGAACAACUCUGACAGCAUGUCAAUGCUAGUGAGGCGAUGGGUGCCAAUACUCUACCCCAUAUUAAGAUUUUACACUAGAGCAGAUGCCAUAUGAUCUUUUCUGCCACUGCCACAUGUCUCCUUCCCCUUCAGUUUCUCCUCAAAGGGAUCCAGUAAAUGGGAGGUGUGUGCGUGCGGGGAAUAAACAGACUUCUUUCCAGCUUUGUGUUGCUAAUGCGUUUCAGUGUUCAAAAGUCAACACUGCUAAAAAAAAAAAAAGAAAUAAGCUAACUUAACAGCAUAAAUACAUACAUACAUAACAAUAAACAUCACCAUUCUUCUGUUCCCUCACAGUAAGUGCACAGUUUUUACAUGUAUUUUACAUGGCAUCUGUGUUUGUGUGUGUUUGUGUGUGAGAGUGAGAUAAUCAGGUUCUUUUUUCAGACAGUUGCAGAAACACCUUGGCAACAGUCCCGAGCUUCAAGUUUCAGCUGAAGCCAACUGCUUAAAAUCUCAACUAUAAACAAACUAAAAAAAUACACAAUGUAGGUUAGCUAGCAGACAUAUAUGAGAGGCAGUAUAUAUGAAAAAGGUCACAAACUGUUGGUAGCUGUUCUACCUGCUCUCUCAGGCUUCCUCUGACUGCUGUUAGCGUUCUCGCUUUUAUCAUGUGAUUCUUUUGUCAUCUGUUGUUCUUGUUUUCUUUUCAGGAUGAAGAUGAUGUCUAAAAAUUCCACUUUUGACAUCGUCAAAAGUGACAUGCAUUUUGACAGGCUGAAAGUACCCUUUUUUUAUGGUAUUCUCUGCAGAUAAUCUGGUCUUACCGGGACACUAAAAUAGAAGAGACCCUCCUAUGUUAAUACAUCUUGCUGCUCAUCAGGCAAUUUGAAAUGUCUCCAGUUUCAUAUUUGUGUUAUUCUGAAGAGGGUCGUGCUUCAUUCUUAGACUGUCAAUAAUAACUUAAAUUUGUGAAAAUGGUCUUUGGCUCUCCUGGCCUUCCUUUGCAUCAGAGGUUUUGGUUUCUACUCAGGGUAAAGAUUUAUCAUAACCCAUUUCUCUUAUAGUAAUUAAUCUAUCGGCUUCACAUUCUCUCCUGCCUCAGUCUCAUUAUUUUGCCUUUUUUAUUCUUUGUUCAUUUUCUUUUAUUCUUUACUUCACAUCUUUCUGUCUCUUUCAUUCCCUUGUACACUAGCUGGUGUUUAUUUUUUAAAAUUUUCUUUUCUUUUUUUUUUUAAAAACUAUGUCUACAAGCCUGUCAAAUUGAGUUGAGAUCAUCAUUUGUUGGGUAGAUUUCUUGUUAUUAUAUUUUUGCUCCUUCUUACUGGUGCUUAUAUUUAUCCAACAUUAUCCCCAUCUGAACCAAACUGACUUGUUCUAGAUUCCAUUUUGUAUGACAAGAUUUUUCCUGGCACCUCAUAAUGAAGAGAGGGGGGACUUUGUUUACUCAAUUUACCAACUUAUCCAUCAGACUCAGUUUGGAUUAGUCUUUAUUUUUGGCACAGAUUUACUUUUCCUAUCAAUCUCUCUCUUGCUCCCUCUGUCUCAUACUCGUGUACAUCACUCAAUCUUGCUGUCUUCGUGUGUGUAUAUCCCUGUCUUUGCCUCAGUGUUUAGUGUUAAUGGUUAAUGAAGAAUGUUGAUAAAAAACUCUACAUCUAGAAUACAAAUGUCAGUGAGUUAAACAAGGGUCUGUUUUGCUUCUCCUCUGCUUCAAGGCUCUUUUUAUUUAUGAUAUUCAGUGUUAUUUCGGGGGGGGUUUCCAACUGAGAUUAAAGCAGCUAAACA